GCAGAAAUGUCUGAGACAUUCCCCUCCGGGGGUAGUAUGCACGCAAGUGUGAAACUUGAAGGAAUUGACGGAAGGGCACCACAAGAACGCGUGGAGCAUGUGGCUUAAUUUGACUCAACGCGGGAAAUCUUACCGGGUCCGGACACACUGAGGAUUGACAGGCAAUAUCGUGUAUUCACUCUUCGUAGUGAUACACGUGUUAAAUAUGCUAGUCCUUUCAUGAUUAUGUGAUAGGUGGUGCAUGGCCGUUCUUAGUUCGUGGAGUGAUCUGUCUGCUUAAUUGCGUUUCACUAAGGAACUAUAUUCUUA
rnacentral:rRNA from 1 species